rnacentral:rRNA from 1 species
UGGGGAAUUUUGGACAAUGGGGCGAAAGCCUGAUCCAGCAAUGCCGCGUGUGUGAAGAAGGCCUUCGGGUUGUAAAGCACUUUUGUCCGGAAAGAAAUCCUUGGCUCUAAUACAGUCGGGGGAUGACGGUACCGGAAGAAUAAGCACCGGCUAACUACGUGCCAGCAGCCGCGGUAAUACGUAGGGUGCAAGCGUUAAUCGGAAUUACUGGGCGUAAAGCGUGCGCAGGCGGUUUGCUAAGACCGAUGUGAAAUCCCGGGCUCAACCUGGGAACUGCAUUGGUGACUGGCAGGCUAGAGUAUGGCAGAGGGGGGUAGAAUUCCACGUNUAGCAGUGAAAUGCGUAGAGAUGUGGAGGAAUACCGAUGGCGAAGGCAGCCCCCUGGGCAAUACUGACGCUCAUGCACGAAAGCGUGGGGAGCAAACAGGAUU